rnacentral:lncRNA from 1 species
AGUGGCGGGUGACGAAGGCCAUGGUGUGGCGCGGCUCGGCAGCGGGACCGACCAGGACAACGACCAGGACAGCGGGCCACGGGCGAGCGAUCUCUGCGCGCCGAGGCCCCGCCUACUCGCGUCCCGGCGCGCGCGGCGUCGCUGGUGGGCGGGGACUCUCGGCGCGCGCCCAUUGGCCCAGGCUGAGGGCGACGGCGUUCGGUCGUCAGCGCGUGUGGACGUCAGCGCGUGCGGCUGGUCAAGUGGACCCUUCCGCCGCGAGGGAAGGACGCGAGCGCCGACCCCGAGUCCGACGGCUGACGACCUGAGGCUCCCUGCGCAGAAUUACCCCAAAUCAGUACAAUGGCACAUGAAAAACCAGAUUUGCAAAUUUUGGGGGAGGUCGAAAGUGAAUCAUCAAGUGACUCAUCCACCGAUGUUGAUGACAUUGAUAUUGACCAUUUGAGCCAAAGAUCCUGUGACAGUGAAACGGACCAAGAAUUGACUGAUACAGACACAAGGAAUGAAAACCUCUUUGAUUCACAUGAUGAAGAAAACAUCAACGUAAUGCUUCUGCCAAAACGACCAUCCGUGGACUCACAGAAUGCUUCAUCCACCAUCAUGGAAUUCCUCACAACUUUGCCUCUGACCAAGGAGCACAUUUUACAGCAAAGAGUUUGGGCAGAAUUGUUUCUGUAUUUCUCGGGAUGGAACCUAGCAACUCAUGCAUGCCAGGCGGGCAUCUACCGCUGA